rnacentral:lncRNA from 1 species
UCACAUGGCGCAGGUAAGGGUUAUAAUAAGCCGAGGUAAAGAGUGUCUAAGAGUCCCCCACAUCCACUUCCCAAAGGCAUGCCAGGGUAAUACAUGCCUUUGUAUACUUCAGCUUCAUCAGACCUUUCCUCUCCUGGACCCACUUCAGGAGGAAGGAUUGGAAUGGAUUCAGAUGUUCCAGACCAAAUCACACAUCUAAAAUCACCUUGAGGGGCUGCUUUUCCGCCACAGUUGCCCCGCUCUUUUGUGUUUUUGUCUUCUUCAUGGCCUCUGAGGAGCAUGUUUCCAGCUCGUUUCCAGCCCAGACUCUCCAGAACGUUUGGGUCCCGAAGCAUUACUCCUGCCUGUAACAACACCAGAAAAAUGUCCUACAGAAGUCAGGUGAAUUCAAGUGAUGCUCAAAACAUCCAUUUCCAACUGCACCUCCCUGAACUCUGGACCCAGGUGGAACUGGGAACCAAGGAGUCUGAAACUGAUUCCCACCAGUCUUGUGAAAACACUCUGAUCCUCACUUCAAA